rnacentral:rRNA from 1 species
GGACUCCUAGGGAGGCAGCAGUGGGGGAUAUUGCACAAUGGGGGAAACCCUGAUGCAGCAACGCCGCGUGAGGGAAGAAGGUCUUCGGAUUGUAAACCUUUGUUUUUGGUGACGAAAGAAAUGACGGUAGCCAAAGAGGAAGCUCCGGCUAACUACGUGCCAGCAGCCGCGGUAAUACGUAGGGAGCGAGCGUUGUCCGGAAUUACUGGGUGUAAAGGGUGCGCAGGCGGGACAUUAAGUUGGAUGUGAAAUGCCGGGGCUCAACCCCGGAGCUGCAUCCAAAACUGAAGUUCUUGAGUGAAGUG